rnacentral:lncRNA from 1 species
UUCUCUCUCUCCGUCCUCAAGCUAAGCCGCUUUCUCUUGUUUUCAAAAUAAUACAGAAUGUGAAUAAUCUCUAAAAAUUCAGCCAUAAGGCUUUUAAUAACAUCCUUCUCUAAUAAAUUGCUACUACAUCCUUAACUAUUUAAAAAUAUUGAGUUUGCCCGGGAAAAAGUUUCCAUACAUCAUAUUCAGUCCAAAAGCUGCUUUCCUUUUUAUGUGAAGUUUCCUUUGCUGUCCACAGGUCCCCAAAGUGUUGUAAUCUUCCUCAUUAGUACCUGAAAAGCAUGCUAAUCACAUAGGUCAGCUCACUUAACUAAAAAGAGACUAAAAAUGCAAGAAUUAUGUAUUUUAUCCUCAAAACUUAGCUAAAACAUGGGGAAGUUAUGGUGCUUAGAGGUAUAAAUAUGCCCAACAUCACGUUAUAAAGUGGUAUCGUUAUACAGACUAUUGCUUGGAAGCAAUGUCACCAGCUAACACUUAGGGAAUUCCUGUGUACCCCACAGACUAUUAUUAAAAGUCACUUAGGGGAUUCCUUCAUACCUCACAAGGUUUUUAAAACCAGCCUUAACCAUUUAACCAUUUGUACUAUGUAUUAAAUUUCAAGAAAUAAGUUAAAUCAGACACUUUGGGGGAUUUCAUUGUACCCCUAAUUCAAAUUUCCACCUUUCUUAUAACUACUAGCCAGUUUUACAAUACAAGGUUGGGGUCAUAACCACUGUAAAAGUCACAAGUUUAAAGAAAGUUACCAUUACCAAGUUCAACCACCAAACCCAUGCACCCACAUGUUCAAAAUCAUAUUUAAAAAAAGGAAAGCCAUAAUUAAACCAUAAGAAAUAUAUUCAACAGAAACAUCUAAAAAAAACCCAACCUUUAUUUCAAACCAUAACAAUACCAUGAAAUCCAUACAUUAAAAAAUGUGUUUUUAAGUAAAAUAAUAGUGAGGGAGGAGUAAUAUGCCUUAGACACCAAGAAGUACGAAAAGAAAUCAACAUUGAAAGCCCCUAAUUAAUUAGUUUGAUGAAACCCUAGCUUUUGAUUGAAUAGAGAGCUUAAGAGAGGAUUUGAGAGUGUUUUAUUAGGAAUAAUGUGUUAAUGUAGUACGAAAGGAUAUUUCAAGUCAUGAAAUCAAAGGGACUUAAAGUGGAAAAUAUCCAAAAUGCCCUCAACUUAAAAACUGUAAAAAAGUUAUCUUUGGUUACGCGUCAACCUAUUGACUCGGCACCACAUCAUAUGACUUGUAGCCUUGAGUCAUAUCUUAGAAAGUGAGUUGGACACCCAUACGCUAUCCACCUUAUGACUUUAUGGUCCCAUUCGUAACCUGACUAUAUGACUCAUAUCGUCUAGUUGUAUCUAAGAUAAAACCCAAGGGAUUAGACACUGGACAACAUACAACUCAACCCUACCACUAGUAACCUAUCCUCAUAGCUCUUAGUGAACUACUCAUACUCAGAGCCAAGUCAAGCCACUAAGUUACUAAUCUAAUUUAAGGUUCAUCCUAUGAUUUGUCACCACCCCUAAUGACUCAUACCGCCAAUUUGUUACCAAGACUAAAAACCCAACUAUCAUCCACUGGAUACCCAACGACUAAGGUCACCUGACCCGUACCCACUCCAUAUGACUCGUAUGAUAAGUCGUCACUAGGACAGUAAGCUCAAAGCUAAAGAAUUUUCUAAGGGCCAAAAUUUAGGGAGUUUCAAUAUUGGUGUUUUUUUAUGAUAUCCUGAUUUAUAAUUUCUCUUAAAAGGACCAUUUAAGUCAUAUGCAAUAGGCUUUCAAAGUGUUAUAGUCCCACAAACUAUUUAUCAAGCUUAGUAAAUGCUCAUUUGAUAAAAUUGAGGUUGAUUACUUGGGUCAUAUUUUUACAAAACAAGGAGUAUUAGCUGACCCAGCAAGGUCAAGGUACUGAGGAAAUAGCCUACUCCUAAAUCUAUUAAGGAACUCAAGGGCUUUCUUUGACUGGCAGGUUAUUAUAGAAGGUUUGUGAAGAAUUAUGGGAUGUUAGUCAGACCUUUAUAUGAACUUUUAAAGAAGGACAAGUGGGAGUGGUCUGAUUCUAUUAUUGCCAUAUUUGAAGCUCUCAAACUACCAAUGAGUCCCACCUCUGUGCUGGCCUUCCAUGAUUUUUCAAAAGAGUUUAUAGUGGAGACUGAUGCUUCUGGGUAUGGGAUUGGUGUUAUUCUUAUCCAAGGAAGUGACCCCUUAGCUUAUAUGAGUAAAGACUUUAGUGAUGCUUAUCUAUCCAUGCAAGAUUGUGAAAAAUAGAUGUUUGCUAUUGUAAAGACUAUUGAAAAUUGAAGGACUUACUUAAUUGGGAGGCAUUUCAUCAUUAGGAUUGAUUAUCAAUAACUUAAGUACCUCAUGGAGCAGCGAAUAUCCACCCCAAGUCAACAAAAGUAGGUUGCCAAGUUGAUGGGGUAUGACUACAUAAUAGUUUACAAAUAUGGAAAGGUGAAUUUAGUUGCAGAUGACAUAUUCAGGUGUCUUACCUCCCCUGCGCUGCACCUACUGACUACUAUCAUCACUCAAAUUUUUUAGACAAGAUUAAGAUAUCAUACACCUCUAACAGUCACUUAUCCCAAUUGGUGCACCAGUUGUAGCAUAACCCAUUAUCCUGCACACUCUAUAUGUGGAUAAAUGAGGUAUUAUAUAGGAGAAGGAAGAUUAUUUUUGGGGAUAGUCCUGUGCUUAAUCAAGAGAUUCUACAUAGCUUACAUGAUAUUCUUGUAGAGGGGUAUUUAAUUAUCUCUGCAACACUUUUUAGAGUCAGUCAACAAUACAAUUAGAAGAAUAUAAAAAAAGAUAUUUACAAUCAUGUAAAAAAGUGUGAGAUUUGUCAGAAGUGUAAAAGUGAAAAUGUGAGAUAUCUUGGACUGUUACAGCCCCUUCCUAUCCCAGAUAAAGUAUGGCAAGACAAAAGCUUAGACUUCAUUGAGGGUUUACCUAAAUUCCACAACAAAUCAGUUAUUUUAUUGUAGUGGACAAACUUAGUAAGUCUGCUUAUUUCAUGUGUUUGAGGCAUCCUUACACUACUUCAAUUGUGGCUUACAUAUUUCUAGAUCAUGUGUACAAGUUGCAUUGUCUACCUUGCACUAUUAUUAGUAACAGAACUAGCUUCAUCACUUUUUAGCAUAUCAUCCUCGAUCGGAUGGACAAACUGGGGUUGUGAAUGAGUGUGUAGAAGAUUACUUGAUAUGCAUGUGCAGUGACAGACCCAAAGAAUGAGUUCAGUGGUUACCCCUUAUUGAAUGGUGGUACAAUAUCACUUAUCAUUUUGCUAUUAAACUGACUCCUUUUGAGGUUCUUUAUGGUUAAAAACCCCUACCCGAUUCCCCUUAUAUUCAUCAUAUCUCUUUUGUUGAUACAGUGGAUAGAAGCUUACAAGAUAGAGAAAGCACUAUUAGGCUCUUAACACAUUAUUUGUUACUAGCUCAAGACAGGAUGAAAGCACAUGUUGACAAGAACAGAUGUGACGGAGUUUUUGCUGUUGGUGAUAGUAUGUUUAUCAAACUCCAACCCUACAGACAACUAUUUCUUAAGAGUCAUGCCUACCAAAAGUUGAAUCCUAAGUAUUUUGGUCCCUUAGUUCUGCUCAAGAGGAUUGGCUCUACUUCUUAUUGGUUGCAGCUCUCUUCUCAGGCCAAAAUUCAUAAUAUUUUUCAUGCCUCUCAAUUAAAGAAGUUCACUGGUGACAAACCUGAUGUUCCUACUCUUCCUGUCACUCUUUCUCCUCAUUGUUAUGUAGUGUUAGAACCUGAGGCUAUCCUUGACACGAGAUCCAUCAUGAAGGGGAAUAGUGAGAUCCUCCAGCACUUGAUGAAAUGGUUUAAUAGCCCUUCUGAAGACAACUCUUAGGUUGAUGCAACUUCCCUUCCUCAGCAGUUCCACAGUUUAGUCCUUGAAGUCAAGGGCUCUUUUGGGAAGGGGGGAG